AUUAAACGCUGGCGGCAUGCCUUACACAUGCAAGUCGAACGGCAGCACGGGGGCAACCCUGGUGGCGAGUGGCGAACGGGUGAGUAAAGCAUCGGAACGUGCCCUGGAGUGGGGGAUAACGUAGCGAAAGUUACGCUAAUACCGCAUAUUCUGUGAGCAGGAAAGCAGGGGAUCGCAAGACCUUGCGCUCUGGGAGCGGCCGAUGUCGGAUUAGCUAGUUGGUGGGGUAAAGGCCUACCAAGGCGACGAUCCGUAGCGGGUCUGAGAGGAUGAUCUGCCACACUGGAACUGAGACACGGUCCAGACUCCUACGGGAGGCAGCAGUGGGGAAUCUUGCGCAAUGGGCGAAAGCCUGACGCAGCGACGCCGCGUGGGUGAUGAAGGCCUUCGGGUCGUAAAGCUCUGUGGGGAGAGGACGAAUAAGACGUGGCUAAUAUCCACGGCGAUGACGGUAUCUCCUUAGCAAGCACCGGCGUAACUCUGUGCCAGCAGCCG
rnacentral:rRNA from 1 species